UCAGAGUUAAACCAAAUGGGUGGAGAACAGCUGAUUUGGAGGGAUGAGUCGUGCCUGGCCCAGCUCCCUCUUUGGUGCUUGAAGGGACUUGCUGCCUGCAACGUGUAUGAGGAGCAGCUGUGUUUGCAACAGCAGAAUAAGAAGCAGAUUGGGAGGGGGCUGUGGCAGCCCCUGGGACAAAAGCAUGGACUGAGUGGCACCUUGCUCAGCUGUGCAUCAGCUUUGGCCUUCCUCGAUCUGGAGUGUACGGUGCAUCAGAGGCUUUCUCCUUGGCAGAGUGUGAGAGUGGUCUAUUGCAGUACGGUAGUGCCCUCUGAUGAAGUGACGGUGGUUUACCAAAACGGCUUACCUGUGAUUUCUGUGAAUCUUCCAUCCCGCCGUGAACGUUGCCAGUUCACGCUUAAACCUAUCUCAGACUCCGUUGGUGUGUUCUUACAACAGCUGCAAGCAGAGGACAGAGGAAUUGAUCGGGUUGCAAUCUACUCAGCAGAUGGCACUCGUGUUGCUUCCUCCACAGGCAUAGAUUUACUUUUACUGGAUGACUUCAAACUGAUCAUCAAUGAUAUCACAUAUCAUGUUAGACCACCAAAGAGAGAGCUCUUAAGCCAUGAGAAUGCAACCACGCUGAAUGAUGUCAAGACAUUGGUUCAGCAGCUGUACACUGCCUUGUCCAUCGAGGAGCACCAGCUGAACAAAGAGAAGGAGCUGAUAGGGAGACUAGAAGAAUUGAAGGAGCAGCUAGCACCGCUAGAAAAAGUAAGGCUGGAGCUCAGCAGGAAAGCGGAGAAGAGGACAACCUUGGUGUUGUGGGGAGGGCUGGCCUACAUGGCCACUCAGUUUGGAAUUCUAGCCCGCCUCACCUGGUGGGAGUAUUCUUGGGACAUUAUGGAACCAGUCACCUAUUUCAUCACCUAUGGUAGUGCCAUGGCAAUGUAUGCUUAUUUCGUAAUGACUCGCCAGGAGUAUGUUUAUCCAGAUGCAAGAGACAGACAGUACUUACUAUUUUUCCAUAAAGGAGCCAAAAAGUCACGAUUUGAUCUAGAGAAAUACAAUCAACUCAAGGAUGCAAUUGCUCAGGCAGAAUUGGACCUUAAGAGGCUUCGAGAUCCACUGCAGGUUCACCUGCCCAUCCAGCAAAUUGAUGAAAAGGAUUGAUCAGCAAAGAAGCUCUGAACCCUGGCAAAAAACCUGUUCAUAGCUCUUGCCUUUUUAAUUAAAGCGUUGCAGGUGGAAAUUGGGAGGUGGUGUGUGGGUGGAGGGUUUUUUGUUUUUUGUUUUUUUUACCUUUAAUCAAGAGAAAGGACUGUAAGGGGAAAGCUCUUAAACUUGAAGAUGGGGCAUUGUGGAAUGUUAGUUCUGAAAAGGGCUUGGCAGAUAGUCAUAUUUAAAACUGUGUGAAUGGUAAUUGUGUACAAAUACAGGAUUGGGGGGUUCAUGAAAAGAAUGUAAUGCUGGGGUAGGGAUGUCUUCUUCCAGCUCUGCAGAGUCUGCCUCUUGAUAAGACACCAGCAGCCUGCUUAGCUUUUUAAAGUUUCCUUUACCUGAUUCAGUUCUCUCUUUCUCUCUUAACAAAAAAAUAAAAGGGGAAAAAAAAGAACAAAGAAUCCAAGCCACCUGGAGCUAUGGCUGAUGAUCAGAACUUGCACUCCACCACCAUUAACACGCACACUUCUGAUCAGACCUGGUCUCUUUUAUAAAGUUACUAGAAGACUGCUUUCUACUGGAAAACCGUGGUUUCUUCCUGACCUUAACAUCACUGAGGCCAUGGUGGUGCAGAUAAUAGCUUUCCUGAAGAAGCUCGGAUGGAGAUCUUGCUGCCAUACCUAGCUGCGUAACACAGGGAUCUCAAGAGCAAUCGAGGUGGUGAGGUAGAAGUAGAGAUGUCUGGUCUAACAAAGGUGGCUACCUUUGUUUGACCAGCAUAGUAGUUCCCUGUGGAGGCUGACACCAUCUGCAGAAUAAGAAUAUAUAUGAGUAACACCCAGCAACCUAAAACAUACCAAGCAGUGUUAGCAUAUUUCUGUAGUGCAUUCAAAUGCUGUUUCAAAGGAAAGUUCAAGUUUUAAGCUCAUAUUCCUUCCUUACUGAGCCUUUCAGUGGCUAUGGUCUGAUUAUUUAUGAUGAUAUAUCUUGAAUUCCUUAACUUUAUGUAUCACCAGACUGUGUACUUAAUCCUGACUUUACAGAACAUUAGGAUGAGAUGUUCAGUGCCAGAAGAUUUUUAUCACGUCUGAUUGUAAAAUUUCAUGAUUGUCCGGUUUUCCAACGAUGAAGUCUCUUGUAUGUUUUUAAAGUCAGAGAUGGGGGACUAGAGGCUGCUAAUGGUGGUAAGAUGCCUUUAAUCACUGCUGAAAGUUCAGCGGUGCUGGCAAACCCUUUUCCUCCAAGCAGCCCUUGUCUGCUGCCAUGUGGUGGCAAACAGCUCAGAACAAUUGUGUAAGAACACAUCCAUUUUGGCAUCCAGAAGAAAGUUUUGACACUUAACACCAAAAUCUCUAUUUUGAAAGCAAGAAAAUGCUAUAACAAAAUUGUUCCUGCACGUACUUAGAUGUUGUUCUACAGAUAAUAGUGGGGGAAGGAAGAGUAAAGUAAGAGUCUAUAAUUGUAUCCUGAAAUAUGGGCUGUCCUGGGGGUCUUGUCAGUCUGGAAGCUUGCUGUCUUACUUGUCCGGACACUGCUGCACAUGUGGUCUCUGCUGAGAGUGAUACCACACACCUUGACUCAACUCUGUUUCUACUUUUGUUGACGUUCAGUACUAACAUCGAAGGAGUUGACGUGUGUUUGUUCUCCUUUACACUGUUGUGUACCAACAUCAGCAAAGUGUUUUGCAGUAGCUAUUUCAAGCCUAGAAGACAGAUGACUGAGAACUGGCUGACUGGCAGAACUCAAAGGGUUGUGAUCAGUGGUUUAGAAUGUAGUUGGAGGCUGUAACUAGCGAUGUUCCCCAGGGGUUGAUACUGGACCCGAUCUUGUUCAACAUCUUCAUCAAUGACCCGGGUUAAAGAAAGGAUAGAGUCUGCUCUCAGCAAGUUUGCUGCUGGUACGAAGCUGGGAGGAGUGACUGACACACCAGAAGACUGUGCUGCUGUUCAGCAAGACCUGGACAGACUGGAGAGUUGGACAGAGAGGGGGUUCAACAAGGGCAAGUGUAGGUUCCUGCACCUGGGGAGGAAUAACCACGUGCAUCAGUGCAGGGUAGGGGUUGACUUGCUGGAGAGGAGCUCUGAGAAGGACCCGAGUGUUCUGGUGCAAAACAGGUUGGUCGUGAGCCACCAGUGUAUCCUUGAGGCCAAGAAGGCCAAUGAUAUCCUGGGAUGCAUUAAAAAGAGAUGGCCAGCAGGCUCAGGGAGAUGAUCCUCCUCAUCUACUCUUCCCUGGUGAGUCCACAUCUAGAGCACUGUGUCCAGUUCUGGGCUCCUUGGUUCAGAGAAGACAGGGAUAUUCUAGAGAGUCUAGUAGAGGACCAUAAAGUUGAUGAAGGGUCUGGGGGAUCUCCCAUAUGAGGAAAGGCUGAGAGACUUGAGACUGUUCAGCUAAAACUGAAAGAUGAUACUGUCUAUAUUUCAUAGAAUCAUAGAAUGGCAUGGGUUGCAAGGGACCCUAAGGAUCGUCAAGUUCCAGCCCCCCUGCUACCUGCAGGGCCACCAACCUCCAGAUGUGGUACUAUACCAGGUUGCCCAGGGCCCCAUCCAACCUGGUCUUGAACACCUCCAGGGAUGGAGCAUCCACAGCCUCUCUGGGCUGUUUAUAAAUAUCUGAAGUGCAGGAGACAAACAGAUAGGGCCAGGCUUUUUUCGGUGAUGUGCAGUGACAGGACAUGGGGAAGUGGGCAAACACUGGAACACAAAGUUCCAUACAAACACUGAAAAACUUAUUUACUGAGAAGGUGACAGAGUACUGGAACAGACUGCCCAGAUUAGCUGUGAAGUUUCCUUCUCUGAAGGUACUUAAGGCCUACCUGGAUGCUUUCCUGUGCAACCUACUGUAGGGAACCUGCUUUAGCAGGGGGCUGGACUCAGUGAUCUCCCGAGGUUCCUUCCAACUCCUGUGAUUCUUGGAGAAUUUGGCAGCCCAUGGAUUGGACAGGUAUGCUCUUUGCUGGGUAAAGAACUGGCUGGAUGCCUGGGCCUAGAGGGUGGUGGUGAAUGGAGUUAACGUCAGCUCGCAACCAGUCAUGAGUGGUGUUCCUCAGGGAUAGGUUUUGGGAUGUG